rnacentral:rRNA from 2 species
CAUGGCUCAGGACGAACGCUGGCGGCGUGCCUAAUACAUGCAAGUCGAGCGGAGAAAUGGGAGCUUGCUCCCAUUUCUCAGCGGCGGACGGGUGAGUAACACGUGGGCAACCUGCCCUGCAGACUGGGAUAACUCCGGGAAACCGGAGCUAAUACCGGGUAAUACAUAGCAUCGCAUGAUGCAACGUUGAAAGUUGGCCUUUGGCUAACACUGCAGGAUGGGCCCGCGGCGCAUUAGCUAGUUGGUAAGGUAACGGCUUACCAAGGCCACGAUGCGUAGCCGACCUGAGAGGGUGAUCGGCCACACUGGGACUGAGACACGGCCCAGACUCCUACGGGAGGCAGCAGUAGGGAAUCUUCCGCAAUGGACGAAAGUCUGACGGAGCAACGCCGCGUGAGUGACGAAGGCCUUCGGGUCGUAAAGCUCUGUUGUUAGGGAAGAACAAGUACCGUUCGAAUAGGGCGGUACCUUGACGGUACCUAACCAGAAAGCCACGGCUAACUACGUGCCAGCAGCCGCGGUAAUACGUAGGUGGCAAGCGUUGUCCGGAAUUAUUGGGCGUAAAGCGCGCGCAGGCGGUCUCUUAAGUCUGAUGUGAAAGCCCACGGCUCAACCGUGGAGGGCCAUUGGAAACUGGGGGACUUGAGUGCAGAAGAGGAGAGUGGAAUUCCACGUGUAGCGGUGAAAUGCGUAGAUAUGUGGAGGAACACCAGUGGCGAAGGCGGCUCUCUGGUCUGUAACUGACGCUGA